UUGAGUGGUUGUAAAGUUUUCCAAUAUUUUCCUAUUUUUCCAUGACAAUUACCGAUGAAUUCAUAAGAAUUCAAGUUUACUUCUGUGCAACUUGUUUGUGAUGUGAUUUAUUCUGUAUGAGUUUUGGAUCACCUUUCAUAUUUCUUAAUUAUAACGUGUAGGAAGCCAAGGAAGGAACGUGAAAGGCAACUAGCCUACGAGUAGCCUACCAUCAAUUCUUUCAUUCAAAAUCGUCGUUCUGUUGAAUGCUUCAUCAUGAUAAUACGGCCACUAACCCCAGCGUAGACACUAGUUGUUUUUUCUAAACAUGUUUUCUACAAAUAAUGCAUUGACAGACAAAGAAAGUUAUGGGAACAUAAUCAAGGCCACGGGUAAUCUUCAUCAGGUUUAUUGCAUCAACUUAAUGAGAUAAUUCUCUUGAAAAGAUGCAGGACACAUACCAACAUGUGCUAUAUUUUUCUGAAUGUUUUACUCGAGCAGUAGGAACGCAAUCAACUUUAGCGCAAUUAGUUUAUAGCGCC